ensembl:lncRNA
CGUCAGGGGCACGCCCCGCUUCCCGUUUGCCUCACUUCCUGUUUACCGUUGCUAACAGGCAUGGUAGCAGUUGCUGCAUUGUUUGCCCUUUCUUUAAGGCUGUGUUCAUUUCUAGUGGUUAUAGAGGCCGUUUAUUUUUAUAGGGUCACUGUUGGGUGUCCAUAGCCAGAAAGCUGAGCCGCUCGCUGGCUGCUGUACGUCCAGUUCGAGCCGUGAGCCGCUCGCGAGCCGUUACUGGCUGUUACCGUGGCUGCCGGUUGCUCCCCGUUCUCUCGUGGUGGACAAAAUUUACUGAUUGGCGGGCCGCCGUUUGUCUGGAGCUGUGCUGGCUACACGGGGUCCCAAACGUAGGAGAUGCUGCUGUUUUGUCUCCGUGGGUUUGUCUCGCAGACGCGGGUCUGUGUUGCCGACGCUGACAGUUCCCACCUGUUGCCAGCCUUUGUGCGAAGGUAAGCUAACAGUUCCCACCUAUUUCCAGUCUUUGCUAAACUAGGCUAACAGUUCUAACCUGUUUCCAGUCUUUGUGCUAAGCUCAGCUAACCAUUCCCACCUGUUCCAGUCUUUGCUAAACUAGGCUAACAGUUCUAACCUUUUUCCAGUCUUUGUGCUAAGCUAGGCUAGCAGUUCCACCUGUUUCCAGUCUGUGUGGUAAGCUAGGCUAACAGUUCCACCUUUUUCCAGUCUUUGCUAAACUAGGCUAACAGUUCUAACCUGUUUCCAGUCUUUGUGCUAAGCUAAGCUAACCGUUCCCACCUGUUUCCCGUCUGUGUGGUAAGCUAGGCUAACAGUUCCACCUUUUUCCA